AACACAUGCAAGUCGAACGAGCAAGAGAGAGCUUGCUUCUCGAGCGAGUGGCGAACGGGUGAGUAACGCGUGAGGAACCUGCCUCAAAGAGGGGGACAACAGUUGGAAACGACUGCUAAUACCGCAUAAGCCCACGGGUCGGCAUCGACCAGAGGGAAAAGGAGCAAUCCGCUUUGAGAUGGCCUCGCGUCCGAUUAGCUAGUUGGUGAGGUAACGGCCCACCAAGGCGACGAUCGGUAGCCGGACUGAGAGGUUGAACGGCCACAUUGGGACUGAGACACGGCCCAGACUCCUACGGGAGGCAGCAGUGGGGAAUAUUGCACAAUGGGGGAAACCCUGAUGCAGCGACGCCGCGUGGAGGAAGAAGGUCUUCGGAUUGUAAACUCCUGUCGUUGGGGAAGAUAAUGACGGUACCCAACAAGGAAGUGACGGCUAACUACGUGCCAGCAGCCGCGGUAAAACGUAGGUCACAAGCGUUGUCCGGAAUUACUGGGUGUAAAGGGAGCGCAGGCGGGAAGACAAGUUGGAAGUGAAAUCUAUGGGCUCAACCCAUAAACUGCUUUCAAAACUGUUUUUCUUGAGUAGUGCAGAGGUAGGCGGAAUUCCCGGUGUAGCGGUGGAAUGCGUAGAUAUCGGGAGGAACACCAGUGGCGAAGGCGGCCUACUGGGCACCAACUGACGCU
rnacentral:rRNA from 1 species